UCCCUGGUGGCUCAGAUGGUAAAGCAUCUGCCUCCAAUGAAGGAUCCCCAGGUUCGAUCCCUGGGUUGGGAA
rnacentral:tRNA from 1 species